rnacentral:rRNA from 1 species
GGGGCAUGUGAGGGCUGUCGCCGACUCAAAGUCGUGCACGCCCGAGCGUGUCCUCUCACAUAAUAAUCCAUCUCACCCUUUGUGCAUCGCCGCGUGGGCACCCUUUGGGAUCAUCUCGGAGGGGGCUCGCGUUUUCACACAAACCCCCCUUUUAAAAGUGUAGAAUGACCUCAUUUAUGCGCUAACCCGCAAUCAAUACAACUUUCAACAACGGAUCUCUUGGCUCUCGCAUCGAUGAAGAACGCAGCGAAAUGCGAUACGUAAUGUGAAUUGCAGAAUUCAGUGAAUCAUCGAAUCUUUGAACGCACCUUGCGCCCCUUGGUAUUCCGAGGGGCACACCCGUUUGAGUGUCGUGAAAACCUCAACCUCUUUGGUUUCUUCUGGAGACCAAAGCAGGCUUGGACUUUGGAGGCCUUUGCUGNCACCUCUCUCUUUUGAAGGUCAGCUCCUCUUAAACGAAUUAGCAGGGNCCUCUUUGCCGAUCCUCGACGUGNGAUAAGAUGNUUCCAUGUCUUGUUUCUGGCUCUGUCACUUUUGGGACCCGCUUCUAACCGUCUUGACCUUGCGUCGAGACAAGUGCUCGAGCAUGUCUCCCUUCUUNGGAAGCUCCCUCGACCCCACGAACCCUUGA